GCGGGGGCGUCAGCAACUUAAAGAAAAAAAAAGUAUUCCCAUAAAAGGCUGAAAACUUCCGGAUUGCGCACAGCACCUUACAGGAAGAGGCCGGACAGAGCUGGGCGGGGACUUCCGGUUUGGAUCCGCCCACGGCGCUUUACAUGCUGACACUGACACCUCCUGGAAAUGCAGCAGGAGAGGAAUGUUCUUGGUGGCUUCCUGUUCUCUAGACCUGACUGAUGUUGAAAGCUGUCUCACAAAUGGAUGCAUUUGUAUGGCUCCUUCAGAGGCUUCCUUGCUAGGCCUUUCCAAUGAUAAUGUCAGCAAUCUGAAGUGAGAUGAUGCUUUGUAUUUCUAUGGCCUUCACUCCACCUCUCAUCCUUUUUUUUACCAGUGGUCCAUUCUACACAGAACCCUUGCGAGGAGUCCCACUAUGGUUCCAGGAAGUUCUUUGAGUAGGAUUUAAACUAGCUCCAUACUUGUCCCCAGGAUUCAUGUAUGUUUGACCUUUUGUCAGAAGGCAGUGCAGUUACUUACAAGACAGAGCUGUCUACUUUGUUACUUCAGGCCCUGCUGUCAGCCAACCUUUGCCUUGAAAUUCUUCCAGCAUGAGUCAUACACAGUCUAUUAUCUCCUACCCAGGAACAAAUACCAAAUGCUUCAAAGGUCCCGUGAGGCCCCCCCUUUCUGGGCUUGAGAAGAGAGAAGUACCUCCACCUCUUUUUGGGAUUGGAUGCAGUUCACAUGGUAGUAGGUCUCUCCAAAGAAAUCUCUUAUAAACCUGUCUUCACUCUUGAAAUAGGGUGUGUGUGUGGGUUCAAGAAUCAUGGAACUGGUCCUUGGUAAUUUCCUUUAACUUUGCAUGACUAUCUGGUGUCUCCCUUUGCAAUUUCGUACUACUUAUAUCUGAAACAUCCAAUUUAAAAUCUUGUUAAAUGUACACCUGAAACUAAUAUAAUAUUGGAUGUCAACUAUGCUUCAAUUUAAAAAAAUAAAAAUCUUAAAA